rnacentral:rRNA from 1 species
UACGGAGGAUGCAAGCGUUAUCCGGAAUGAUUGGGCGUAAAGCGUCCGCAGGUGGCUGUGUAAGUCUGCUGUUAAAGAGUGAGGCUCAACCUCAUAAAAGCAGUGGAAACUACACAGCUAGAGUGCGUUCGGGGCAGAGGGAAUUCCUGGUGUAGCGGUGAAAUGCGUAGAGAUCAGGAAGAACACCGGUGGCGAAGGCGCUCUGCUAGGCCGCAACUGACACUGAGGGACGAAAGCUAGGGGAGCGAAAGGG